UAAGGAUAUGCUCCCAGAAAUUGUAUGCCAAUUAGUCAUGAGUUCUAUCGUCCAGGUAGUUUUUUGACUUAGCUUUUCCCCAUUGCUUAGAUGAGUUCCUCAUCCUAACAUUAGCUUGAACCAUUUUCAGAUAGGUCUGGAUCUGGCUUAUGCAUUAAUAAAUGUAAAGUCUAAAAAAUAUCACUCCCCCCCUCAAAAAAAAAACCUCCCAAACUCAAAAUCUCCUGGUAAAUUAUAAUUUAACCUAGUAGAAAGAUGUCACA
rnacentral:lncRNA from 1 species